rnacentral:rRNA from 1 species
UACAGAGGUGGCGAGCGUUGUUCGGAUUUACUGGGCGUAAAGGGCGCGUAGGCGGCGUCGUGUGUCGGGUGUGAAAUCCCAGGGCCCAACCCUGGAAGUGCGCCCGAAACUGCGACGCUGGAGUGCGGGAGGGGAGAUCGGAAUGCAGGGUGUAGCGGUGAAAUGCGUUGAUAUCCUGCAGAACACCGGUGGCGAAGGCGGAUCUCUGGAACGCAACUGACGCUGAGGCGCGAAAGCCGGGGGAGCAAACAGG